AUGAACGCUAGCUACAGGCUUAACACAUGCAAGUCGAGGGGCAGCAUGAAGUCAGCUUGCUGACUUUGAUGGCGACCGGCGCACGGGUGCGUAACACGUAUCCAAUCUGCCCGUUACUCAGGGAUAGCCUUUUCGAAAGAAAGAUUAAUACCUGAUGGUUUCAUCAUUCCGCAUGGGUUGAUGAAUAAAGAUUCAUCGGUAACGGAUGAGGAUGCGUCCGAUUAGAUAGUAGGCGGGGUAACGGCCCACCUAGUCGACGAUCGGUAGGGGCUCUGAGAGGAGGAUCCCCCACACUGGAACUGAGACACGGUCCAGACUCCUACGGGAGGCAGCAGUGAGGAAUAUUGGUCAAUGGGCGGGAGCCUGAACCAGCCAAGUAGCGUGAGGGACGACUGCCCUAUGGGUUGUAAACCUCUUUUGUUUGGGAAUAAAGUGAGGCACGUGUGCCUUUUUGUAUGUACCUUACGAAUAAGCAUCGGCUAAUUCCGUGCC
rnacentral:rRNA from 1 species